GACGAACGCUGGCGGCGUGCUUAACACAUGCAAGUCGAACGGAAAGGCCCUGCUUUUGUGGGGUGCUCGAGUGGCGAACGGGUGAGUAACACGUGAGUAACCUGCCCUUGACUUUGGGAUAACUUCAGGAAACUGGGGCUAAUACCGGAUAGGAGCUCCUGCUGCAUGGUGGGGGUUGGAAAGUUUCGGCGGUUGGGGAUGAACUCGCGGCUUAUCAGCUUGUUGGUGGGGUAGUGGCUUACCAAGGCUUUGACGGGUAGCCGGCCUGAGAGGGUGACCGGCCACAUUGGGACUGAGAUACGGCCCAGACUCCUACGGGAGGAAGGAGUGGGGAAUAUUGCACAAUGGGCGGAAGCAUGAUGCAGCAACGCCGCGUGCGGGAUGACGGCCUUCGGGUUGUAAACCGCUUUCGACUGUGACGAAGCGUGAGUGACGGUAAUGGGUAAAGAAGCACCGGCUAACUACGU
rnacentral:rRNA from 1 species